CUAAGUUUGAUGGCGACCGGCGCACGGGUGAGUAACACGUAUCCAACCUGCCGAUGACUCGGGGAUAGCCUUUCGAAAGAAAGAUUAAUACCCGAUGGCCUAGUUCUUCCGCAUGGUGGAACUAUUAAAGAAUUUCGGUCAUCGAUGGGGAUGCGUUCCAUUAGGUUGUUGGCGGGGGUAACGGCCCACCAAGCCUUCGAUGGAUAGGGGUUCUGAGAGGAAGGUCCCCCACAUUGGAACUGAGACACGGUCCAAACUCCUACGGGAGGCAGCAUG
rnacentral:rRNA from 1 species